AGAGUUUGAUCCUGGCUCAGAUUGAACGCUGGCGGCAUGCCUUACACAUGCAAGUCGAACGGUAACAGGUCUUCGGAUGCUGACGAGUGGCGAACGGGUGAGUAAUACAUCGGAACGUGCCCGAUCGUGGGGGAUAACGGAGCGAAAGCUUUGCUAAUACCGCAUAAUAUCUACGGAUCAAAGAUUUAUCGCCCAGAGAUCAGCCCGCGUCUGAUUAGCUAGUUGGUGAGGUAAUGGCUCACCAAGGCGACGAUCAGUAGCUGGUCUGAGAGGAUGAUCAGCCACACUGGAACUGAGACACGGUCCAGACUCCUACGGGAGGCAGCAGUUAGGAAUAUUGGACAAUGGGGGAAACCCUGAUCCAGCCAUGCCGCGUGAGUGAAGAAGGCCUUAGGGUUGUAAAGCUCUUUCGGCUGUGAAGAUAAUGACAGUAGCAGAAGAAGAAGCCCCGGCUAAAUUCGUGCCAGCAGCCGCGGUAAUACGAAUGGGGCGAGCGUUGUUCGGAAUCACUGGGCGUAAAGCGUACGCAGGCGGUCAUGAAAGUCAGGAGUGAAAUCCCAGGGCUUAACCCUGGAAUGGCUCUUGAAACUCCAUGACUAGAGUACUGGAGAGGUUGGCGGAAUUCCGAGUGUAGAGGCGAAAUUCGCAGAUAUUCGGAGGAACACCAAUGGCGUAGGCAGCCAACUGGACAGUUACUGACGCUCAUGUACGAAAGCGUGGGGAUCAAACAGGAUUAGAUACCCUGGUAGUCCACGCCCUAAACGAUGUGUGCUAGUUGUCGGGGUCUUUAGACUUCGGUGACGCAGCUAACGCUUUAAGCACACCGCCUGGGGAGUACGGUCGCAAGAUUAAAACUCAAAGGAAUUGACGGGGACCCGCACAAGCGGUGGAGCAUGUUGUUUAAUUCGAAGCAACGCGAAGAACCUUACCUACACUUGACAUGCCUCUUAGGACUUUCAGAGAUGAUUGUUUUCGGUUCGGCCGGGGAGUGCACAGGUGCUGCAUGGCUGUCGUCAGCUCGUGUCGUGAGAUGUUGGGUUAAGUCCCGCAACGAGCGCAACCCUUAUCGUAUGUUGCCAGCAUUUAGUUGGGCACUCAUGCGAGACUGCCGGUGAUAAGCCGGAGGAAGGCGGGGACGACGUCAAGUCAUCAUGGCCCUUACGUGUAGGGCUACAAACGUGCUACAAUGGCGUUAACAAUGGGCAGCGAGGCUGUGAGGCCAAGCUAAUCCUUAAAAAACGUCUCAGUUCAGAUUGUACUCUGCAACUCGAGUACAUGAAGUUGGAAUCGCUAGUAAUCGCAAAUCAGCAUGUUGCGGUGAAUACGUUCCCGGGUCUUGUACACACCGCCCGUCACACCAUGGGAGUUGGUUUUACCCGAAGGCCGUGCGCUAACUACGGAGGCAGCGGACCACGGUAGGAUCAAUGACUGGGGUGAAGUCGUAACAAGGUAACC
rnacentral:rRNA from 1 species